rnacentral:misc_RNA from 1 species
GAUGAAGAACGUAGCGAAAUGCGAUAAGUAAUGUGAAUUGCAGAAUUCAGUGAAUCAUCGAAUCUUUGAACGCACAUUGCGCCCGCCAGUAUUCUGGCGGGCAUGCCUGUUCGAGCGUCAUUAUCACCCCUCAAGCCCCUUGGCUUGGUGUUGGACGGCUGGCGAUGACCUCCGGGUCGUCGCCCCUCCCAAAGACAAUGACGGCGGCCUCGUUGGACCCCCGGUACACUGAGUUCUUCACGGGACACGUACUGGAUCAAGGGUGCGCGGAGCACGGUCUUAACCAUUUCACCCCUCGCGGGCGGAAUAAUUUUUCUAGGUUGACCUCGGAUCAGGUAGGGAUACCCGCUGAACUUAAGCAUAUCAAUAAGCGGAGGA